AAAGUGCGAAAAGUGUCAUGACUUGCAGAUUCCCGAGAGCUGACAAAUCUCUGAAUGCAAAUGGCAGCCGAGUGAGACCCGGCUAUGGAUUGUAGAGUGUAGACGCUCAAGCUAUUCAUCACUCUUCUCUAUCACUGUCGAUAGGGAGUGAGUGUACCUGCGCUUGUACACUUACACGCACUUGUGUGUGUUUGUUGUACGAGUGUUAAAUGUAAAGGUCAUGUGUGUGAGCUUGGAGUCUCACGACUUCAACCACACACAACGAGCACCGAUGAAUCAAUAAAACGAAUCAUUGUGUGUCACAACAAAGACCACCACUAACUAUCUCAAUGAGCCACCUCUAUGAUGCAUGAUAACCCGCUGAACUUAA
rnacentral:misc_RNA from 1 species